AGCGUAGACGGAAUGGCAAAUCUGAUGUGAAAGGCCGGGGCUCAACCCCGGGACUGCAUUGGAAACUGUCAAUCUAGAGUACCGGAGGGGUAAGUGGAAUUCCUAGUGUAGCGGUGAAAUGCGUAGAUAUUAGGAGGAGCACCAGUAGCGAAGGCGGCUUUCUGGACUGUAACUGACACUGAGGCACGAAAGCGUGGGGAGCAAACA
rnacentral:rRNA from 1 species